CUAAAUAUUAAAAGAAAAUGUCCACUACUACAGAUUUUAAGUACAGAAAUAGUACAGAAAUAGUACCUAUGCAAAAGUAGCUGUGUAGUUGUCUGAUCUACUUAAAGAUAUAUAUGUGUAAAAGAUUGAGUCAAUUGGUGAUAUAAUUUUUUUUACAUGUGAACCAUUAUUUCGCGGCAGAAUACGCUCAAAACUUUUAGGAGGCUCUAGAUGUGGUUUGCAGAAUAUUUCAUAGCGGACAAAAAUAUAAAGAAAAGAUAAAAUGGGAAGGAAAUACAGAAUAAAGUAUAAUCGACAUUUGUGUUGUCUGAAUGGCGACUUUAAAGACAAUGCACAUGUAGUGAAGUCACUCUCUCUCUCUCUGCAUGUGAAUCCAUUGUAAUAUAAACUGUGACAUGUUGCAGACACCAUUUCGAUUACAGAAACUUAAUCAGUUUAACCCGAAUCAAAUCCGUUAGAAUGCAAAAUUAACAUUAAAACUGUAGAACAAUAAAC
rnacentral:lncRNA from 1 species